AAAAAAAAUCAAAAAAAAA
rnacentral:sRNA from 1 species